CAGCCGUAAACUAUGCGCGUUAGGUGUACUGGUGACCACGAGUCACCGGGGUGCCGAAGGGAAACCGUGAAACGUGCCGCCUGGGAAGUACGGUCGCAAGGCUGAAACUUAAAGGAAUUGGCGGGGGAGCAUCACAACGGGUGGAGCCUGCGGUUUAAUUGGAUUCAACGCCGGACAUCUCACCGGAUAAGACAGCUGAAUGAUUGUCAAUCUGGAGGUUUUACAUGACUAGCUGAGAGGUGGUGCAUGGCGUCAGUGACU
rnacentral:rRNA from 1 species